GUCGGCCGCUUCGAUAAGGAAAAAGCAAUCGAUGUUGGAGCUAGAGUCGAUGCUUUUGAGACCGCUUCAAGUAGCAUCACCAUUACCACCAUUGCCACCAUGACCGCCGCUGAAAUAGUAACAGUAAUAGUGCUAAUAAUAAUACCAGCAAGAAAUCAACCACCAAUUGGCUUAGAAUUCAAGUCAUUUGUGGAACGGGUCGACUUGAAUAAGAUUCCCAACCCGAAAGAUUUGAAUAUCGGAUGGGAGAAAA
rnacentral:misc_RNA from 1 species